rnacentral:rRNA from 1 species
UACGAAGGGGGCUAGCGUUGUUCGGAAUUACUGUGCGUAAAGCGCACGUAGGCGGAUGUGCCAGUCAGGGGUGAAAUCCCGAGGCUCAACCUCGGAACUGCCUCCGAUACAGCACGUCUCGAGUCCGGAAGAUGUGAGUGGAAUUCCUAGUGUAGAGGUGAAAUUCGUAGAUAUUAGGAAGAACACCAGUGGCGAAGGCGGCUCACUGGUCCGGUACUGACGCUGAGGUGCGAAAGCGUGGGGAGCAAACACG